GCCGUAAACGAUGGGCACUAGGUGCCUGGGGGAGCGACCCCCUGGGUGCCGGCGCUAACGCAUUAAGUGCCCCGCCUGGGGAGUACGGCCGCAAGGCUGAAACUCAAAGGAAUUGACGGGGGCCCGCACAAGCGGUGGAGCAUGUGGUUUAAUUCGACGCAACGCGAAGAACCUUACCUGGGCUUGACAUGCACGGGAAACGCUCGAGAAACCGAGCGCCCUCUUCGGAGUCCGUGCACAGGUGCUGCAUGGCUGUCGUCAGCUCGUGUCGUGAGACGUU
rnacentral:rRNA from 1 species